UACGAAGGGAGCUAGCGUUGCUCGGAAUUACUGGGCGUAAAGCGCACGUAGGCGGCUUUCUAAGUCGGGGGUGAAAUCCUGGAGCUCAACUCCAGAACUGCCUUCGAUACUGGAGAGCUUGAGUCCGGGAGAGGUGAGUGGAACUGCGAGUGUAGAGGUGAAAUUCGUAGAUAUUCGCAAGAACACCAGUGGCGAAGGCGGCUCACUGGCCCGGUACUGACGCUGAGACGCGAAAGCGUGGGGAGCGAACAGG
rnacentral:rRNA from 1 species